GCCCUGGUCGGAAACCAGGGCCGACCGUGAGGAG
rfam:Olsenella sp. An290 An290_contig_6, whole genome shotgun sequence.